CUCUAGGAGACUGCAUAUACAUAAAUGAGGAAACGAUUUUAAAUUUACAUUUAAAAGACAAAGGAAAUUCAAAACUUUGACCUUGUGAAUAUGAUAGUUGAUCAGAGUUUUAGCAAGAAAAACACCUUAAAUUCAUAAUUAAAAGACAAAAAGAAGAAACAUAUUUGAGUUAUAAUAAAUAAUGGUGUAGAUUCAGCAUGAGAAACACUUUAUCUUUGAAGGCAAUCAAAGAAAACCUAAAAGGUGAACUUGUGAUUAGACAGUUGGAUCAUAUAGUGGACUAUUUUAUGAGGGGUAGGUGAGUAUAUAAGAACUAUUUUGGUUAAUGUUAGGAUAAUGGCAUAGCAAGGGGAGGAUAUAUGACCGUUAGUCGCUGGAAACUGAGUUUAGAUAAGGUGGUAACAGAAAAUUGCAUCUGUGAAAGUUUCCAUCUGAACUUGUGUAUCCUUUAUCGUGAGGCCUGUGAACAAGGUAAACCUCUCUCUCUUUGAUAAGAAAUAUGUCAGUCUCAGCUAGUUAACAAAUUGACUAAUGAGCUAAUACAGUGGUGAUUAGCAUUAAAGACUAGGUCUGACUUCUAGUUGUCAAGCUACAGUUACAGCAGAUCCAUUGGUCUCCAUGGCAACUUGGGCAGAGUCAUUCUGGUCAUCAAGCUCAGAAGAUGAAAAACUUUUUCCUGUGUAGUAGGUCUGGUGAAGUCUCUCUGUAGGAUCUAAAUUCAUGCGGUGUUUGAGCCACUGCCAGCCUGUCACCUGCUGAGGAAGUGACCUCACUAACAUCUUGGUCUGAAUGCUCCAGCAACCCUGACGCACUGACCUGACCAGCCUUGCUGUUGCCGCCCUGCCCCGCUGUCCACACGGAGAACUCAGGCACAACCUGCUCCUCCUGUCUGGCCUCCUGGUCUACCUGUCCCUGGCUAUGAUAGCCCUGAGGGUCUUGUAAGAGGCAAGGGGAAGGUGCAGGGACUUCACAGCCUGCUCUGGCCUCUCCCUUCACCCACUGCGUGGUCCUCAGUGUCCUCUUCGGCAGGCUGCAAAGCAGGUCAACCAAGCUGAGCAGGAAGGACAGUGCACUCACUGCCCAAAAGAAUAGCAUCAGGAGGGACUUCUCCGUGGGUCGCGACACGUAGCAGUCUACAGCUCCUGAGCAGGGCACACGUGAGCAAGACACGUGGGCGGGCACCGAAAAGCCAAAGAGAAAGUAGUGCAGGAAAGCUAGCCCCGCCUCCAGCAGCAUGCGAAGCAGUAGGUGCACCAGGACUUACCCAUGAUGGUCACAUUACAGUUUAAGGUGAUGAAGAGGAAUCCCAACAAGUUCAAGUUCUCCAUGCUUGAAGAAAGCCACAGGUCUGGGCUGCUGGAGGGUGCCGAGGCUUGUGUACUCCAAGGAGUACCAAUUAAUUUUUUUUUCUGUAUCAGACUUUGAGGUAAGCACCAAGCUGUGGAAAGUAAGAUGCGCUCCCAAGCUUGGGAGGUCAGGUCUUUUGUCUCUAUAUUAAGACAGUCCUAAGCUGCUUGCCAAUGAGACACAGGCACUCCUGACAACUGCAGGGCCCAGAAGCAGAAGUCAUCUCUCUGUGUGACUAUUCUUAACCUCACAGGACAUUCCAGCCUUGUAGCUUUGCUUGUCUCCAUUGGAAAGCCAGACACUUCAGGACAUUAGAAGCAACUACUUUUAGCCCAGGAGAGAAAACUUCUAUUAAUUAGCCAAUUUUUCCAUAUUGGAGCUGGAAGAUGAUUCAGUUGAUAAAAAUGCUUGCUGCACAAGCAUGAGUACCUGAGCUCACACCCCAGAAAUGAUAUAAAAUGCCAAGCAUGGUAGUGCAUGCUUUUAAUCUUAGUGUUGGAGAGACACAUGCAGAUAUGAGAGCUCACUCACUGACUGACAGAUUUACUUGGUAAGCCCCAGGUCCUAAGGAGAGAUGCUGUCUCAAAACUGAAGGUGAGCAGUGCCUAAGGAUGACUGAUUCCCAAAGUUGAUGUCCGUGGUUGUUCCAGUGAGAAUGACUCAUUAGGCUGUGUUUUAAAGAGUUGGUCCCCAGUUGGUAGGACUGUUUGGGAAGGAUUAGGAGCUGUGGUCUUGUUGGAGGAGGUUUGUCACUUGGGGUGGGCUUUGAGGAUUCAAACACCUUCGUCAUUCUCAGUUUGCUCUAGCUUUGUCUCUUACUUGUAGAUCAGAAUGUAAGCUUUCAGCUAAUGCUCCAGCGCCAUGCCUGCCUGCCAGCCUGCCUGCCUGCCUGCCUGCCUGCCUGCCUGCCUGCCUGCCUGCCUGCCUGCCUCCCUCCCUCCCUCCCUGCCUGCCUGCCUGCCAGCCUGCCUGCCUGCCUGCCUCCCUGCCUGCUGCCUGCCUGCUGCCUGCCUGCCUCCCUGCCUGCCAGUCUGCUGCUGUGUUCUUUGGCACGAUGCUCAUGGACUCUCACUCUCUGGAACUGUGAGCCUCCAAUAACAUACUUUCUUUCAGUGUUUGAUCAUGGCAAUAGAAAAGACAAUGUCUGACAUCUAAUUGCCUGCAUCUGUAUCUACACAACACCUAUGUAUAUAUGAACACACAAAGCCAUUUCCUCCUUGAAAACAUAUCCACAACCACUUGUGAAAGAAGUUCAUCUUUUACCCUUUCUACAGAGUAUAAACACCCCCACACACAGCCUACAAGGAUCCUGACCUUACUGCUAAUUCCUGCACCACUGAGGUAAGCACAGAUCUGUACCAUGACAUGUGUGUGUGUGCCAGGUCUACACUAUGACUUGGGCAGUCCUCAUUGGCUAAGCUCCCUCACUGCCAAUGAGGACAUUGCAUUUUUCUCCCCUCAGCCUCAUCCUACCAACUACCUAACUGUUCAUGCAGACCUGAAAUAAAUUCCCAAAGUGUAAUGAAAUAAUGAAAUAAAUUCCCAAAGUGUAAUGAAAAAUGAA